rnacentral:tRNA from 2 species
GGGCGGUUAGCUCAGUUGGUAGAGCGUUCCCUUGACGUGGGAAAGGUCACAGGUUCGAAUCCUGUACCGCCCA